CGCGCAGGCGGUCGUUCAAGUCGAGUGUGAAAGCCCCCGGCUCAACUGGGGAGGGUCACUCGAUACUGAUCGACUCGAAGACAGGAGAGGGAAGCGGAAUUCCCGGUGUAGUGGUGAAAUGCGUAGAUAUCGGGAGGAACACCAGUGGCGAAGGCGGCUUCCUGGCCUGUUCUUGACGCUGAGGCGCGAAAGCUAGGGGAGCAAACG
rnacentral:rRNA from 1 species